AGCGGCGGACGGGUGAGUAACGCGUGGGAAUAUGCCCUUCUCUAAGGAAUAGCCUCUGGAAACGGAGAGUAAUACCUUAUACGCCCUUCGGGGGAAAGAUUUAUCGGAGAAGGAUUAGCCCGCGUUAGAUUAGGUAGUUGGUGGGGUAAUGGCCUACCAAGCCUACGAUCUAUAGCUGGUUUGAGAGGAUGAUCAGCCACACUGGGACUGAGACACGGCCCAGACUCCUACGGGAGGCAGCAGUAGGGAAUCUUAGACAAUGGGGGAAACCCUGAUCUAGCCAUGCCGCGUGUGUGAUGAAGGCCUUAGGGUCGUAAAGCACUUUCGCCAGAGAUGAUAAUGACAGUAUCUGGUAAAGAAACCCCGGCUAACUCCGUGCCAGCAGCCGCGGUAAUACGGAGGGGGUUAGCGUUGUUCGGAAUUACUGGGCGUAAAGCGCACGUAGGCGGAUUAGUAAGUUAGAGGUGAAAUCCCAGGGCUCAACCCUGGAACUGCCUUUAAUACUGCUAGUCUUGAGUUCGAGAGAGGUAAGUGGAAUUCCAAGUGUAGAGGUGAAAUUCGUAGAUAUUUGGAGGAACACCAGUGGCGAACGCGGCUUACUGGCUCGAUACUGACGCUGAGGUGCGAAAGUGUGGGGAGCAAACAGGAUUAGAUACCCUGGUAGUCCACACCGA
rnacentral:rRNA from 1 species